CCUACGGGAGGCAGCAGUGAGGAAUAUUGGUCAAUGGGCGAGAGCCUGAACCAGCCAAGUCGCGUGAGGGAGUACUUCCCUAUGGGUUGUAAACCUCUUUUGUCGGGGAGCAAAAGCCGGACGUUUCCGGCUGUGAGAGUACCCGAAGAAAAAGCAUCGGCUAACUCCGGGCCAGCAGCCGCGGUAAUACGGAGGAGGCGAUCGUUAUCCGGUUUUAUUGGGUUUAAAGGGUGCGCAGGCGGAUUUUUAAGUCAGCGGUAAAAUCGUGGGGCUCAACCCCAUCCAGCCGUUGAAACUGGGGAUCUAGAGUGUGCGAGAGGUAUGCGGAAUGCGUGGUGUAGCGGUGAAAUGCAUAGAUAUCACGCAGAACCCCGAUUGCGAAGGCAGCAUACCGGUGCACAACUGACGCUCAGGCACGAAAGCGUGGGUAUCGAACAGGAUUAGAUACCCCGGUAGUC
rnacentral:rRNA from 1 species